CAGCUUCUGUUUGCUGCAGGGCCAUUGUUCCCUGUUGCUAUAGGAUGGGGGCACAGCGCAGCCGUUCUCCCCCCCCACCCCCCGCCUUCCCCCGGUGCUGAUGGGGAUCGGAUCUCCCCUGGGACCCCCUCCCAGCAUUGCCUGACAUGCGAGGGAAUGGGUUUCGUGCAGCCUUAGGGGGCAGUGGGCGAUGUGGGUGCACUGAGGGGGUGAUGGAGACAGACCUCUCCACCCAGCUCGUCGUCACCAUCGGGACCUGCAGUGUGUGGUGGGAGCACCCAUGGGUGCUGCGGUGUUCCCGCGCCUUAUCCCCUCCUGGGGACAUCACCGUAGGGGGUCACACAGCAGAUCCCUCUGAGUAGGGGUAGUGUGGGGGGGCUGAGCUGGGCUGCGUGCCUCAUCCAUCCCCACUGAGGGGACUCAACCCCCCCCCACCCCCACCAGGGCCACUGCUGUGCCCCCAGCGCUGCCUCGUGCUCACUGCCAUCCCGAAUCUCAGCAAGUCACUCUCUUGUUUCUGGUGGAUCUUUGAUAAACCGCUACUGGACAUCAAUAUAAAACAUUCCCUCUUCUCUCUUCUGAGUGACAUCACAGAGCAGUGAGCCCUGGGGGGGGGACACGGUGCCCACUCCGGGGAUGUCCAGGACCCAUUCCCCCACAUCCACGCUGCCCUUCCCCAGCAGCACUGCAGCAUUCCCAGCCCGGCGGGGGGAUGGGGGGGUCGGGGGCUGUGAGGUGUCAGCGCUGACCCCGCUGCUUCCUGCCCUCACACUCCCUGGAGCCCGCCGAUGUCUGCGGCGCUGGGGACGGUGUCGGUCCCCCAUCCAUUCUCAGCUACCGCAUUUCCUUCCUGAGCUGCAAAUAACGGAUACCGCUGUGGCAGCAGCAGGAAAAUUGGCAGCGACUUUCCUGGAAACCGUCUUUUGCGUGGAUCAAAGGAACAGGGAAGCGCUGGGAAUCGGUGGCAGCCACUCAUCCCUCCCCCCCCCCCCCCAGUGGCUCAGCCCCACGACCCACAGAGCGCAGUGUUGGAUCCCCACACAGUGCCCCCCGAGCACUGAGCUGGCUGAACUACUGGGGCGCGCUGAGCAGCGGAGAGUUGAACUUCAUGGAGUGGCAUUCCUGUUUAAUCAGUGGAUGGGCAGAA